ACGCCUUAUACAUGCAAGUCGAACGAAGUAGCAAUACUUAGUGGCAGACGGGUGAGUAACAUGUAGGUAUCUUCCCUUUGGUGAGGAAUAACACGAGGAAACUUGUGCUAAUACCUCAUAAGUCUUUACGGAGAAAGCUUUAUGCGCCAUUGGAUGAGCCUGCACUUGAUUAGUUUGUUGGUGGGGUAAUGGCCUACCAAGACUGUGAUCAAUAGCUGAUCUGAGAGGAUGAUCAGCCACAUUGGGACUGAGACACGGCCCAAACUCCUACGGGAGGCAGCAGUAGGGAAUAUUGCACAAUGGAGGAAACUCUGAUGCAGCGAUGCCGCGUGAGUGAAGAAGGCCUUUGGGUUGUAAAGCUCUUUCGUCGGGGAAGAAAAUGACUGUACCCGAAUAAGAAGGUCCGGCUAACUUCGUGCCAGCAGCCGCGGUAAUACGAAGGGACCUAGCGUAGUUCGGAAUUACUGGGCUUAAAGAGUUCGUAGGUUGUUAAAAAAGUUGGUGGUGAAAUCCCAGAGCUCAACUCUGGAACUGCCAUCAAAACUUUUUAGCUAGAGUAUGAUAGAGGAAAGCAGAAUUUCUAGUGUAGAGGUGAAAUUCGUAGAUAUUAGAAAGAAUACCAAUUGCGAAGGCAGCUUUCUGGAUCAUUACUGACGCUGAGGAACGAAAGCAUGGGUAGCGAAGAGGAUUAGAUACCCUCGUAGUCCAUGCCGUAAACGAUGUGUGUUAGACGUUGGAAAUUUAUUUUCAGUGUCGCAGCGAAAGCAGUAAACACACCGCCUGGGGAGU
rnacentral:rRNA from 1 species